UGUUAUUUGUCAAUUCAAAUGGAAUUUGAAAGGUUCACAAAAAAUUGAAAUGUUUUCGGCACUGCAAUGCCUUACAUGUAAAAAAUUGCGAAUUGAAUUUUGAGCCAAACACGGGAGUAGUCGCCACAUGCCACCCUCUUCGCCCGAGUGCCAUUGUUAGCCGCACUGUCCGUCUGUAAGUGAAAAAUGGAACCACAAACUAUUAUAGCAGAGCUAAAACUAUCUGAGCCUGAUGUAGGAUAUAAACUUCAAGCGUAGUCCCUGGACUUUUUGCAAUAAAAUUGUAUAAAUAUUUAAGAAUUUCUUUUUCAGAAAGAUUUCGUAAUACAAAAUUGUUGUGAUUUCAGCGCUGAGUAUUUAAUGAAAUAGAAGCAAAUCACUUGAUGAAGAAAUCUUUAAUAUAAAACUCAACUGGUAUGUGCCUGGCUCAUGCUUUAAAUGGCUUGACCUCCUUGGAAGCCCUUCGUUGAGAGGUUUUGGCUGGGGUCAUCUUUUGGGCAAUUUAUGGUGAAGUGUCGUGCUUGGAAUAGACGGUCAAACGGACAGAUUGGCUGACCAAUAAACGAUCUGUGGCCACCGCUGCAAAUGAGUUAAGUUUGGCGGCUGGAAAACUUUUCAUAACUUUGCCAAGAAGAUGCGGACCGUUGCGUUAAUUGGAGCUAUGGGCUUCACUAAGCGCCGUCGCGCCGCAGAAUACAAAGUUUAAUGGGGGAGCUGAUUAACCCGUCGGGAGGCGCAGCCCAAAGAUGUUGAACAGAAAAGAAAAGCGCAGCGUAAUUAUCUUGAUGAGAUUCGCCCGGGCAGCUAUCAAGUCGAAGGUGACCCGUGCCCCGUUGCUGUUGGGGGUUCAUCAACCCGUUGCGGGCUAAAAUUAAGUUAUGUGCAGUGGAACGGAACGUUUGACAUGUCUCCCUCUAAUAAGCUAAAUGAAAACAAAAAUGUCAUCCAAGUCAGUCGCAAAUUGACGACAAAGUAACCUAAUAACUUUGCCCACACAAUAAUUGGAAUUUAUGACUCAUUUUUCUACAACUAUACUGCAAAAGGGCCAUUGGCCUGCCGGAGGUUUCCACCCACUACUCCUGGUCAAUUCACUCUCAUCUUUGCACUCUCCCCAGACUCUUUUCUUGUGUUAAAUAAAGCGCGUUGGAACCAA